GAUGAACGCUGGCGGGAUGCCUAACACAUGCAAGUCGAGCGGUAACACUUCGGGUGACGAGCGGCGAACGGCUGAGUAACGCGUUGGUACUCACCCCAGACUCAGGGAUAAGCCUUGGAAACGAGGUCUAAUACCGGAUAUCUCAGCAAUGGGAAAGAUUUAUCGGUCUGGGAGAGGCCUGCGACGUAUCACGCUUGUUGGUGAGGUAACUGCUCACCAAGGCUAUGACGCGUACCUGGUGUGAGAGCACGACCAGGCAGAGUGGGACUGAGACACGGCCCACACUCCUACGGGAGGCAGCAGUGAGGAAUUUUCCACAAUGGGCGAAAGCCUGAUGGAGCAAUCCCGCGUGGAGGAUG
rnacentral:rRNA from 1 species